AGUCUGACGGAGCAACGCCGCGUGAGUGAUGAAGGCUUUCGGGUCGUAAAACUCUGUUGUUAGGGAAGAACAAGUGCUAGUUGAAUAAGCUGGCACCUUGACGGUACCUAACCAGAAAGCCACGGCUAACUACGUGCCAGCAGCCGCGGUAAUACGUAGGUGGCAAGCGUUAUCCGGAAUUAUUGGGCGUAAAGCGCGCGCAGGUGGUUUCUUAAGUCUGAUGUGAAAGCCCACGGCUCACCGUGGAGGGUCAUUGGAAACUGGAGACU
rnacentral:rRNA from 1 species